rnacentral:lncRNA from 1 species
GGCAAAAAGUACCCAAGUAGAAAUAAUACUGUUAGAAGGCAUGGAGGAAUCUUGCAUUUUUCAUUAUAAUUUCGUAUAUAAUUUUGUUUUUAAUGCAUAGUUACCAUGCAUUAAAAACCAACCUUAUUUUUAGCCUCUUUAAAUAAACACAGUUACACAAUCAAGAUGGCAGAGAUUUUCAGGAAUCACCUUAUCAAGUUGCCCAUUUCUAAGAGUAUUUGGAAGCAGAUAUUAUGUUACUAAAAACAGUAACUAGGAUGCCGUAACUGCCUUGAAGUAAUAUUGACUGUAAGUAUCUUCAGUGUCCAGAAGUUUUCCUGGCAUACAGCAAAUGCUCAAUUACAGAGUGAACAAUUUUAAGAAGAUUUAAAGGCCACAGGAGAAGUAUAAUCUUGAAAAAUAACUUCACAUGCUAAUUCAUUUUUUAAAUUUACAAUAGUUUGUUUUUGUUACGUUAUUUUCGAAAAUGGUUGCGAUCAAGGUGACACAUGCACACAUGAUCAGAGAGGCAGUUAAUUAGGACAAUAGGUGCCUGAAUCAAGAUUUGCUGUUCUGUUUGUAUUUCAUAUGUUGCAAAAAUAAUAUAUUUACACCAAAGUUUUUGAUGGUUUGGCUGUCAACACUAUGGAUAUUAUGACUGUCCCCUCAGGCUUUGCUGGCGAGUCUACAUUUAUCAUGUCCCCUCAGGCUUUGCUGGUGAGUCUACAUUUAUCAGGUUGUCUCCUUCCUCUGCUUAUCUUCCAUCAUUGCUGCUCUGAUAGUAUUGAAGUAAUUGUAAAUCUCUCCCAUUGGAUUAUUUUUUCAAGUUUUGAAAUUUUUAAUGUAUAAAUUGUUAAGUUUUGAUAACCUACAUUUUAGUUUAUUUACUUAUUUUCAUGGUACAUAUUUAAGGCAUACACAUAUGCCAUGAAAUUAUUACUACAAUCAAGCCAAUUAACAUAUCCAUCACCGUCCAUAGUUAUAUUUUUAUGUGAUUGGCAAGAGCACCUAAAAAAUAUACUUUUAGAAAAUUUUCAGUACAGAAUACAAUAUUAUUAACUAUUGGUAACAUACUAUACUUUAGAUACAACUUACUCAUCCUACAUGACUGCCAGUUUGUACCCUUUGAUCUGCUUUUUUUCAUUUCCUCUUAAUCCUUAUCCCUGAUGGCCACCAUUCUACUGUUUCUAUAUACUUGGCUUGUUUUUAGAUAGCACAUAGAUAGCACAUAGAAUAGCCACCAUUCUACUGUUUCUAUAUACUUGGCUUGUUUUAGAUAGUACAUAGAUAGCACAUAGAAUAGCCACCAUUCUACUGUUUCUAUAUACUUGGCUUGUUUUUAGAUAGCACAUACAAGCGAGAUCAUGAAGUAUUUUUCUUUCCAUGUCUGGUUUAUUUCACUUAGCAUAAUGCCAUCCAGGUUCAUCCAUAUCAUCAAAAAUGGCAAUUUUAA